rnacentral:rRNA from 1 species
UGAGGAAUAUUGGUCAAUGGGCGCAAGCCUGAACCAGCCAUCCCGCGUGAAGGAAGAAUGCGCUAUGCGUUGUAAACUUCUUUUCCGGAGGAAUAAAAUCUUGUACGUGUACAGGACUGAAGGUACUCCGGGAAUAAGCAUCGGCUAACUCCGUGCCAGCAGCCGCGGUAAUACGGAGGAUGCGAGCGUUAUCCGGAUUUAUUGGGUUUAAAGGGUGCGUAGGCGGAUUAAUAAGUCAGUGGUGAAAACCUUCAGCUUAACUGGAGACUUGCCAUUGAUACUGUUAGUCUUGAGUGUGGUUAAGGUAGGCGGAAUGUGUAAUGUAGCGGUGAAAUGCUUAGAUAUUACACAGAACACCGAUUGCGAAGGCAGCUUACUGAGCCAUAACUGACGCUGAUGCACGAAAGCGUGGGGAGCGAACA